rnacentral:rRNA from 1 species
UAGUACCUACGGGAGGCAGCAGUGGGGGAUAUUGGACAAUGGGGGAAACCCUGAUCCAGCGACGCCGCGUGAGUGAAGAAGUAUUUCGGUAUGUAAAGCUCUAUCAGCAGGGAAGAAAGAAAUGACGGUACCUGAGUAAGAAGCCCCGGCUAACUACGUGCCAGCAGCCGCGGUAAUACGUAGGGGGCAAGCGUUAUCCGGAAUUACUGGGUGUAAAGGGAGCGUAGACGGUUAAGUAAGUCUGGAGUGAAAGGCCGG